GAAGAGGGCCGUGUUUCAGAUAGGUCUAGUUACUGAAGAGGGCCAUGUUUCAGAUAGGUCUAGUUACUGAAGAGGGCCAUGUUUCAGAUAGGUCUAGUUACUGAAGAGGGCCAUGUUUCAGAUAGGUCUAGUUACUGAAGAGGGCCAUGUUUCAGAUAGGUCUAGUUACUGAAGAGGGUCAUGUUUCAGAUAGGUCUAGUUACUGAAGAGGGUCAUGUUUCAGAUAGGUCUAGUUACUGAAGAGGGCCGUGUUUCAGAUAGGUCUAGUUACUGAAGAGGGCCGUGUUUCAGAUAGGUCUAGUUACUGAAGAGGGCCAUGUUUCAGAUAGGUCUAGUUACUGAAGAGGGCCAUGUUUCAGAUAGGUCUAGUUACUGAAGAGGGUCAUGUUUCAGAUAGGUCUAGUUACUGAAGAGGGCCGUGUUUCAGAUAGGUCUAGUUACUGAAGAGGGCCAUGUUUCAGAUAGGUCUAGUUACUGAAGAGGGCCAUGUUUCAUUCACCCAUUCCCGAGUACCACAGAGUAUUACAACACACACCGAGUACCACAGAGUAUUACAACACACACCGAGUACCACAGAGUAUUACAACAUAC